AGAGUUUGAUCCUGGCUCAGGAUGAACGCUAGCUACAGGCUUAACACAUGCAAGUCGAGGGGCAGCGGGAUUGAAGCUUGCUUCAAUUGCCGGCGACCGGCGCACGGGUGAGUAACGCGUAUCCAACCUUCCGUACACUCAGGGAUAGCCUUUCGAAAGAAAGAUUAAUACCUGAUGGUAUCUUAAGCACACAUGUAAUUAAGAUUAAAGAUUUAUCGGUGUACGAUGGGGAUGCGUUCCAUUAGGUAGUAGGCGGGGUAACGGCCCACCUAGCCAACGAUGGAUAGGGGUUCUGAGAGGAAGGUCCCCCACAUUGGAACUGAGACACGGUCCAAACUCCUACGGGAGGCAGCAGUGAGGAAUAUUGGUCAAUGGACGAGAGUCUGAACCAGCCAAGUAGCGUGAAGGAUGAAGGUCCUACGGAUUGUAAACUUCUUUUAUAAGGGAAUAAACCCUCCCACGUGUGGGAGCUUGUAUGUACCUUAUGAAUAAGCAUCGGCUAACUCCGUGCCAGCAGCCGCGGU
rnacentral:rRNA from 1 species